ACGUGAUCCGGCCCCCGCUUGGGGGUCCGUCAGGUGCAAUUCUAGUUCUGGGGCUGUUUGGGGCGGUGUCCCGCUGCGUUCCUGGGAAGCUGAUUCAUUCUCUGCCAAGGCUCUUUGGAGAGACACUCUGGCGGUCGAGCUGCGAGGCGUCGUCGGUACUUCGUUCGAAAAACCAUAAUCUUGGUUAGUGGAAAGAGCAGGUUGAGUCCUGUUUUUUUUUAAACUGGAUGGUGGGUACACAGGUAUUUAUUGUUAGUCACCUUUGCACACAAAGAAUAGAUGGAUCCUCAGUGUUCCUUGGAUACACCUUCACAGAGCCGGUUAGUGAUCAGCGCUCUCCACUUUCCCCGUGGAACUCAGUGGCUUACUUUUGGUAUCCACUCCAAAGCCGAAGUUUCGCCUCGGAGAUACUGCGGUUUGGUUCCAGACCACAGCAGAAAAGAGGGUAUCACAAUAAAGAGAGUCGUAAUCUUUCUGGUGCAGGGUGUGGCCUUCAAUUUGGAGGAAACAACAACAACAACCAAACCCGCAACAACUGAAGAGCCGUAAAGCAAAGCACAAUAAAAGCAAGUAUACCUGUACUUGCCAGCAGGGGCAAAAUGGUGGUGUUUAGAAAACAGUUUAUAAUGCUAUGAAUCUGAGCAUAUUUUUACUGUGCUUUUUCCCUAAUCAAACUGUUAAGUAAAAUAUAAAAGUCGAGUAUAAACUUUUUCAAGCCCUCUAGUUUGCUUACUAGCAAGUAAUGGAUUAUAAUUAGCUUUAUCUGUCACUCUUGCCUCAGGGCUUUUACAAGAACUUAGUUUGUAGGAAGUUAUCGUUUAUUGGGCACAAAUCACUGGUCAGGGACUUACUGUAUUUUUCCAAAUUUUCAGUGUCUCUGAUAAUAUUGGCAUUUUACAGAUGAGAAAACCAAGGUUAAAAGAAGCUGUAAUUUGCUUAGGUCAUAAACUGCAAAGCAGCAGGACCAGUAUGCAAAAUCUGUUGUUGUCCUUGCUCAUUUCACUAGACCCAACUACUCAAUUAUGCAUUCUUCUUUCAUAAUUGUCUACUAAUUUCCUUCCUCCCCUUCUUUAGGUGAAACUGAUUUGUGUAGCAGAUUACUUCCAACUGAUAUAAAGGUGGUAAAUUCAGUAUUAAUCCAUUGACAAGCCAAGGCUAUUACAGGUUUAUGUAACCACUUUUAUUUAAGGAUGGGUGGUUACACAAGGGAAAAAUGCUAAAAAAGAGGAAGUCAAAUCAAAUAAAAGUAUAUCAAGGAUCACAGAUGUGAUACCUGCCUGGAAUACUUUGUUCUAUCUGCAAGGCUCAGCUCAGGAUGUCAGCUUUCCAUGACAUUUCCAGUGUGGGUCAGAUGCCCUCCUGUGUGAUACUUGAGCCUCGUGGCCUUAUGUCUAACAUAGACUUUGUCACACUAUUUGUUCCUUUACUUUAUCCCUAACCACUAACACUGGAAGGGCAAGAACUGUUAUCAAGCCUUAUAUUCUGAACUAAAUAUGUUUGUUUAAGGAAUAUUUGUUGUGAAUUUACUACAUGUUUUGCACAGGGCUAGGUACUUCUGACCUUGAGACAGUUGGUAUUACCCCCAAUUUCAUAAAUUAAAAAAAAACCUCUGAGAAAUGAAAGAACUUUUUCAAAGUCAUACCGUUGGCAACUGGGUGGCAGCAGCACACUUACCUUCAGAAUAUAGAGGCAAGGAUCUGUUAGAACCAACAAA